UACGUAGGGUGCAAGCGUUGUCCGGAAUUAUUGGGCGUAAAGGGCGCGUAGGCGGCUGUACAAGUCAAAGGUGAAAUCCCUCGGCUCAACUGAGGAACUGCCUUUGAAACUGUACGGCUUGAGGCCGGGAGGGGGUAGCGGAAUUCCCAGUGUAGCGGUGAAAUGCGUAGAUAUUCGCAAGAACACCAGUGGCGAAGGCGGCUCACUGGCCCGGUACUGACGCUGAGGUGCGAAAGCGUGGGGAGCAAACAGG
rnacentral:rRNA from 1 species